ACUGCCAUAUCAUGUUGAAACCUCGUUCCCGUGUGAUUACCGAAGUUAAUCAACCUCGGGACGAGUAAAUACCUGGACGGGUGACCGCUUGGGAAUACCAGAUGCUGUAAG